CAUGGAUUUGGAAACCCCAAGGAUCAAAUCAAAAUAAAAAUUAGGUCUUCUCUUUCUCUCUGCCUCAUUUUUCCAAGCAGGUGGGAAUAAUCCAUCCCACAAACCUCACCGAUCCAAUGACCUCUAAGCUAGUUGCUUCCAAUCUCCGUCACCACAUCACAAAAUCAGCCAAAAACCUCGGCCCGAAGCUUCUCUCCACGGCAGUGGAGGCGGCGGUCCCGGAACACGAUGGGAACAACUCGUCGGGAAUGACGAUGAAGGGCGUUCGAAUCUCCGGAAGACCCCUCUAUCUGGACGUCCAGGCAACAUCCCCGAUGGACCCGCGUGUAGUUGACGCGAUGCUGCCUUUCUAUCUCUCUCGUUUCGGAAACCCUCACUCUCGGACCCACUUCUACGGCUGGGAAUCCGACGACGCCGUGGAACACGCGCGCGCUCAGGUAGCAUCCCUCAUAGGCGCGUCCCCCAAGGAGAUAAUCUUCACCUCGGGUGCGACCGAGUCCAACAACAUCUCCGUCAAGGGCGUCAUGCAUUUCUAUAAGGACAAGAAGCGGCACGUGAUAACCACGCAGACGGAGCACAAGUGCGUGCUCGAUUCCUGCCGCCACCUCCAGCAGGAAGGUUUCGAGGUCACCUAUCUUCCGGUUGAAUCUGACGGAUUGAUUGAUUUGGAGAAGCUUAGAGCUGCGAUUAGGCCCGAUACGGGGCUUGUUUCGGUGAUGGCUGUGAACAAUGAAAUUGGAGUAGUUCAGCCGGUGGAGGAAAUUGGGAGAAUUUGCAAGGAGUUUAAUGUGCCGUUUCACACUGAUGCGGCUCAGGCGUUGGGGAAGAUUCCCAUUGAUGUGGAGAAGUGGAAUGUGAGUUUGAUGUCUUUGAGUGGGCAUAAGGUUUAUGGUCCUAAGGGAGUUGGGGCUUUGUAUCUACGUCGGAGGCCGAGGAUUCGGGUUGAGCCUCAGAUGAACGGAGGUGGCCAAGAGAGGGGGAUUCGGAGUGGUACUGUUCCCACUCCUUUGGUUGUGGGCAUGGGUGCGGCUUGCGAGGUGGCUAAAAACGAGAUGGAGUAUGAUGAGAAGAGGAUUUCUAGUUUGCAACAAAGACUCCUUAAUGGGAUUAGAGAGAAGCUUGAUGGGGUGGUGGUGAAUGGGAGCUUGGAGAGGCGCUAUGUGGGGAAUUUAAAUUUGUCGUUUGCGUAUGUUGAAGGGGAGAGUUUGCUCAUGGGGUUGAAGGAGGUGGCUGUGUCCAGUGGCAGUGCCUGCACUAGUGCUAGCCUGGAGCCUUCGUAUGUUUUGAGGGCGUUGGGAGUGGAGGAGGACAUGGCUCACACUUCUAUUAGGUUUGGAAUUGGGAGGUUCACUACCGAAGCUGAAAUUGACAGAGCAGUAAAGCUCACUGUUCAGCAGGUGGAGAAAUUGAGAGAAAUGAGUCCGCUGUAUGAAAUGGUCAAGGAAGGGAUCAACAUCAAGGAUAUCCAAUGGGCACAGCACUGAUCAUUAGGCUUUCCAAUUGCAUUUCAGUACAGAUUAUCACAUGACCUUCUCCAAUGCAUCCUAGCUCUCCCACAGCUUAAGGAUUACCUGUCAAGUUUAGCACUAUCUUUGUUCUUGGGUGGUGGAUUAGGGGAGCAAACGCAGUACAUUUUAUUUGUCGACGCCACAGGGAUGGGCCAUCUUCAAAACCGUGUUGCUGAUAUUUACAGCACAAAAAACUUGAGAGAAAAAGGCUUGUAUAUAUCAUGUCAUGUAUGUAAUGUAUGGGGGCAUUGGAAUCACUAUUCCUUUUCUCAUCGUGGUCCCCAACCCAACCUUUUCAGUUGUCUCUGUCUUGACCUUUGUUUUGCACCA